rnacentral:rRNA from 1 species
GACGAACGCUGGCGGCGUGCCUAAUACAUGCCAGUUGAGCGCUGAAGGUUGGUACUUGUACCAACUGGAUGAGCAGCGAACGGGUGAGUAACGCGUGGGGAAUCUGCCUUUGAGCGGGGGACAACAUUUGGAAACGAAUGCUAAUACCGCAUAAAAACUUUAAACACAAGUUUUAAGUUUGAAAGAUGCAAUUGCAUCACUCAAAGAUGAUCCCGCGUUGUAUUAGCUAGUUGGUGAGGUAAAGGCUCACCAAGGCGAUGAUACAUAGCCGACCUGAGAGGGUGAUCGGCCACAUUGGGACUGAGACACGGCCCAAACUCCUACGGGAGGCAGCAGUAGGGAAUCUUCGGCAAUGGACGAAAGUCUGACCGAGCAACGCCGCGGGAGUGAAGAAGGGUUUCGGAUCGUAAAACUCUGUUGGUAGAGAAGAACGUUGGUGAGAGUGGAAAGCUCAUCAAGUGACGGUAACUACACAGAAAGGGACGGCUAACUACGUG